ACUACAUGUUCCAGGAUGCAAUGUGCCGCGGUAGGCGGCAAAUCUGUUGCAGCUAUAGGCCCCCGCCCCCACUGUUCAAACUAUAGUUUUAAGCGGAAUCUGAAUUUGAUAAAUCUUGAAGAAGCGUCCGUGCUGAGAUUGAUAGGACGAGGAUCUCCAAAUGGCAACCCUUGGCUAUCAAGAAACGAGAGAGGAGGAAGAGAACAACUGGCAAGACUAGUCCAUGCAUUGCUGAGGGAUCCACUUGUCCAUAAGAGCCUCUCAAGACCUGCCCUACCUGAAAUGAAAUGAAGGAUCCUCUGAAAAGAUCGACAUAAGGAUGCUGUCAAGGAACCGCAUGCAUGGUGGGAGUUAGCCUCCAUUUUGAAGCAAGAGCUUCACAUCCACAGCAUCUGCCAGACCUGCCAUUCACCAAUCCCCUAAUCCUGUCUAGAACAGGAGAAAUUGACACCAAAGCAAUGGGUUUCAUUUUCCUUUCGCAUUUCCACAAAAGGUAUGUCUGUGGAGGAAUUCUUUUUUGGCUUUUAUGAAACUGAAGCACUAACAUCUAAAAUUCUUUCCACUAUUUUGAAAGAUGUACUCUGCUGUUUAAUCUUCCUCUUGACAUAUGUUAUAACCAGUGCUACAAUAAAGUAUCAGAUAUAGCUGAA